rnacentral:rRNA from 1 species
UACGUAGGGUGCAAGCGUUAAUCGGAAUUACUGGGCGUAAAGCGUGCGCAGGCGGUGAUGUAAGACAGGUGUGAAAUCCCCGGGCUCAACCUGGGAACUGCAUCUGUGACUGCAUCGCUGGAGUGCGGCAGAGGGGGAUGGAAUUCCGCGUGUAGCAGUGAAAUGCGUAGAUAUGCGGAGGAACACCGAUGGCGAAGGCGAUCCCCUGGGCCUGCACUGACGCUCAUGCACGAAAGCGUGGGGAGCAAACAGG